UGUCUGUAUGUGUCUCUCUGUCUCUCCUUAAUCAAUCACGAAGCGCAGCAGCAAAGCAGCAGCAGCACUACCAGCGUCAGUGGCAGUAGCAAGCAUUUUAGAAUGGUUGAAGAAGAGUGAAUAAUUUAUGCAUAUGGUGAUGUGCAACUCAGGACUUUAUCAUGGAUUGCUAGGGUAGACGGGAGGCGGAGUAGGAAGAGGCUGGACUGCAGCAAAUUCCUUCUCAUGUGGAAAGCCAGCACCUAGGACUGCUACAUGGAUCAGCAGCAUAUCGAUUCUGAUGAGGAUGAAAUACCUGAUUGGGUCAGGGAAAUGACCCUAGACGAAAACGUACAUAGGGAGCACGACCUGGCCCUUUUUGAGGAGGAUGACUUCCCUGAAAGAGUGGUAGAAAUACCGGACAACGCUGAUGAGUUGCUCGUGCCAUGGACCCAGAGCAGGAAAGCAGACGCGUCACUGCAGCCACAGCACAGUGUAGCUCGGGUACCGAUUGUGGCUAAACCUUCCACCUCGCCAAAGCAGUUUCCGGUAAGGCAAGCAUCGCCUAUAAAGGCGCCGCUACACGGAUCGCGAGAAGCUGCCGCUGCCCCAGCACCGCCACUGCCAUCCGUGGACCGAGCAACGAGCUACCACCCCUAAGGUUACCGUGACUGGCUUGCAGCAGCAACAACAGCAUCGGGAACCAUCGCCAAAGGCAGGUUACUCCCACUGGCUUGACCCAGUAGCGCCGCUUCAUCCUCCUCAUCCUCGUCAGAAUCGUCGCCCG